rnacentral:lncRNA from 1 species
AACCACUGAACCAUGAAAAUGAGGUCAGAGGAUAGAAAACCAGAUAAAUUGACACAAAUCCCUGUGGUAAGACAAAAUGUGCCAUAAUAUUAGUCCAAAUGAUAAUAAAGUCUUGCAUGGCUAUUCUGUUCUGUUCUGGUUUAGAAAAUCCCUCCUUCAAAGGAGCACUUUGCACAAUGACGAAUAAAUGUUUAUAUAUAUAUAUAUACCUAAAAAGACAUACUAGGUACGCCUCGUGAGAUAAGUGUUGGUUACUGUCAAAGACCCUUACGCUUGCUUGGCGGAAGGUUUUUAAUUAUGAAGACGAGUUCGUACUCCAUGAAGAGCAAAGCAAAGCUUCCUUGUUAUGUAUUCUACAGUGUAGCAGGCAUCCAUGCAUUUACAUUUGCAACCACAAGCACAUAUAAAGCUACUAGGGUCCAAUAUAAAGUUAGUGUCUAGCUAUUUCAACUUUUUUCUUGGACGCCGUCAUAGUAAAAAAAAAUCCUUUCAAGGUGUA